GAGCCCUAGCGGGGUGUUUGGCCGACACAUAGGGCAGUUGGUAGUGGUCGUUCCCGCUGAGCAUUGUGAGGACCGGGAGUGACCAGAAGAAGGAUGGCUGGCCGCGUAAGGCUGAGAAGGCAGCGGCAGUUGGGAGGCUUGGAAGGUGGAUUCCCCAGCGUGAGCGUCCUGGCCGUUGGGGGGAAAGCCAAGUCUCGGUCCGCAGAGGGCUAAGCGAAGCCAGGGAUUGGGAGGCCACCAGACCAGUCGAGUAGAGCAAAGACUGGAUGAUUGACAGCUGCUGCACGUCUAACGUCACUCUCUGUGUCCAACUGCCUGGAUUCGCUUUGUCCUGCCGGAAGGACUUAAGACCUGAAGAUACGCCACCUUGAAGCAGUUCAUUUGGGAACUUGCCUCUGGAAAAAAGUUUCUGCAAUUAUUGUGCGUUUUCUUUUGUGUUUACUGAAUUCCAGUUAUAUGGGGUACCCCAACUCUUUAUCAAGUCCUUCUGUGGUGGCCUUUUGCUCUACCACUACCUGACAAAGGCACCAUGCAGCCACCUGUGAUUCUGGAAUUCAGAUGGGUGUCCAAGCUUUUCACGGGACUCAUAGCACUGAAUCCUCUCAGACAAAGACUGGAAACAAUGAGGAAUGACUUCAGAACAUUUAUGUUAAGUAGAAUGCCCAGU